rnacentral:rRNA from 1 species
UGGGGAAUCUUGCGCAAUGGGGGGAACCCGUGACGCAGCGACGCCGCGUGCGGGACGAAGGCCCUAGGGUCGUAAACCGCUUUCAGCAGGGAAGAGGCCGCGAGGUGACGGUACCUGCAGAAGAAGCCCCGGCUAAAUACGUGCCAGCAGCCGCGGUAAUACGUAUGGGGCGAGCGUUAUCCGGAUUCAUUGGGCGUAAAGCGCGCGUAGGCGGCCUGGCAGGCCGGGAGUCAAAUCCGGGGGCUCAACCCCCGCCCGCUCCCGGAACCUCCAGGCUUGAGUCUGGCAGGGGAGGGUGGAAUACCCGGUGUAGCGGUGGAAUGCGCAGAUAUCGGGUAGAACACCGGUGGCGAAGGCGGCCCUCUGGGCUUUAACUGACGCUGAGGCACGAAAGCGUGGGUAGCAAACAGGAUUAGAUACCCUGGUAGU